rnacentral:rRNA from 1 species
CCUACGGGAGGCAGCAGUGGGGAAUAUUGCGCAAUGGACGAAAGCCUGACGCAGCGACGCCGCGUGAGGGAUGAAGGUCUUCGGAUCGUAAACCUCUGUCAGCAGGGAAGUACGGUCACUGUGCUAAUCAGCAUUGAAUUGACGGUACCUGCAAAGGAAGCACCGGCUAGCUCCGUGCCCGCAGCCACGGUAAUACGGAGGGUGCGAGCGUUAAUCGGAAUUACUGGGUGUAAAGCGCUCGUAGGCGGUAUGUCAAGUCAAGGGUGACAUCCCCGAGCUCAACGUGGGAACUGCCUUUGAAACUGGCAGACUGGAGUGUGUGAGAGGUGAGUGGAAU